UACGUUCCAGGAGGAUGCAUUGACAAAUUUACAAAACACGGCGUUUCUUAUAGAAGAAGGCUUGUGCAAAUAAGUAACAUAAGUCAUUUCUUACAAGGGCAAUACCAGCUUUGUAGUAAAUGGCGACACUGCCUCGGCUUCUCGUUUUUAAAAUAUUGUCAGCAUAAAGCAAAAGUAAAAGGGCUUCAAAUUGCUGUACAAAUUAUCCUAUAUAUUUUAAGUUUGGAUUUUGGAAGACGUUAAGAUUAUCGAACAACGAUGUUGAUGGUUUUUGGGACUUUUUCUAAAUGCCAAGUGGGUGAAGUGGGAAACCCAGAUUUACUACUCCAGACAUAGCAUGGUGCGGUGUAGUAUGUGCUUUUUGCAAGAAAAUAAACUUUUACACCUAAGCCUAUUAUAGAGUAAAGUUUACAUAAGUACUUAAAUUUAAGUGUUUGAUUUAUUACCGCUCGACUUCGAGCUGCUAAAGUAAUACAUUUUUAUCGCUUCGUCGUAAAGUAUUAUUAGCUAGUCCCGAUGACCAAAGACUUUAUGAAUGUUAUUAAAAAAGUGAUUGCAUUAACAGG